AGAAAUCUUCGGGGUUGGGUGAAAUUCCCUAUCGGCGGUACAGCCCGCGAGCUUUAAAAAGCAGAUUCGGUUAGAUUCCGAAGCCGACAGUAAAGUCUGGAUGAAAGAAGAGAGUA
rnacentral:ncRNA from 2 species